rnacentral:rRNA from 1 species
UACGGAGGAGGCAAGCGUUAUCCGGAAUUAUUGGGCGUAAAGCGUACGUAGGUGGUUGACCAAGUCUGCUGUCAAAGGGGGGGGCUUAACCUCAUAAAGGCAGUGGAAACUGGUGAGCUAGAGUGCUGUAGGGGUAAGGGGAAUUCCCAGUGUAGCGGUGUAAUGCGUAGAGAUUGGGAAGAACAUCGGUGGCGAAAGCGCCUUGCUGGGCCUGCACUGACACUGAGGGACGAAAGCUAGGGGAGCGAAAGGG